rnacentral:rRNA from 1 species
CCCUUAGAUGUUCUGGGCUGCACGCGCGCUACACUGAAGCUAUCAACACGUUUUCCCUCCCUGAGAAGGGCGGGUAACCUUUUGAAUCAGCUUCGUGGUAGGGAUCGGGGCUUGCAAUUGUUCCCCGUGAACCAGGAAUUCCUAGUAGACGCGAGUCAUAAGCUCGCAUCGAUUAAGUCCCUGCCCUUUGUACACACCGCCCGUCGCUACUACCGAUUGAACGUUUUAGUGAGGCAUUUGGACCUACGCAUCUCAGUUUAACCGCUGGUUUGUGUUGGAAAGACUUCCAAACUUGAGCGUUUAGAGGAAGUAAAAGUCGUAACA